rnacentral:tRNA from 1 species
GCGCCCAUAGCUCAGUUGGAUCAGAGCACGGACCUUCUAAGUCCGGGGUCGCAGGUUCGAGACCUGCUGGGCGCG